rnacentral:tRNA from 1 species
GAAACUGUGCCUGAAUUAAAGGACUACUUUGAUAGAGUAGAACAUAGGGACCCACAACCCCUCAGUUUCU